ACACAGUAAGACUAGGUUUUCAGCAACCGCUGUUAACAACAGGAAGAAAUGCUAAUUAUUUUUUCCAGAUUCACGUGGUAUUUUUCACUUUUUCUGUCCACUAAACCACCAGAGAUUUCAUGGUGAAAAGACAGAAAAAUAUGAACCCUGACUUCACCUAAUAUGCACAAGAGUGCAGCAAGCCUAUCAAUUUGAGUCCUGCUAUACCCAUGUGCCUACCACAUGCAACAGCACACAGGAAGAGACCUAUGGAUUGCCUUGGGAACCCAAAGGGAGGGAAACAUGAAGUCCCUGGCAUUGCUUCUGGAGACAAGACAGAUUUAGAGAAAACAUUAAUGGCAUACUGACAGGUUGUACUUUUAGGACUUAUACGACUUACUAAAAAAAUAAAUAGGUAACUAGAAUCUUUACCAGUCAUAAGUUUUUUAAACUGACUUUACCAGUCAGAUUAAUACAAAAACUCAGUGUUUUUGUAUUAGAACAUUAUUUUGGGCUAAAAAUAAAUCUUUCUGCUUACAUUCUGUGGCGUAUUUUUUCCCUAUUUCUGUUUUAAAGACACAACAUAGCCCACCCCUUCCUAACCGAUAUUUUUGAAGAGUAUAACCAAAGCCUUCCAGGACUCUUGAUGGCUUAAGUAUACAGUAGAAAGAGUUUACAAUUGCAUUCAGUUUUCCCAGUGUGCAGAAAAGAUGGCUAAUGGAAUUAACAAAUCGCUUGCUGUUCCACUAGUAACAAGUUUAAAUAACAACAAAGCUUCUUCAGUCAACGCUACUGAAGAAGUGCCUCCUUAAACAGUUCACAAUACAUGAGGGAUUACCUCAGACAGCAACUAAAAAAUGUUUGUGAUUUUUCUUUUUUAAAUUUCUCUCGCUAGCGUUAAUCUACAUAGACAAAACUUUAACCCUUCCACAACUUGCUAUUUUUCAUAAUCAUUAAGUGUUUAUACCAAACUGAAAAAAAAAAACAAGUAUCUUACUUGAAGGGCUAAGUUCAACUAUCAUGAACACAGCAUAAUCUAAAACUGUUCCACUUAAGUCCAAGAAAUUAUUCCAAAUUUUACCUUUUUCUUGUAGAGAUAAUAAACAAUGUUAAAUAGAUAAAUUCUUUUCCAAAGAAAAGUUAUUCUAAAAAUAAAGCUGAAUAGCUCUUUUCUUCCUUCUCCUUGUACGUAUUUGAUGUAAAUCCACUGCCAUCAGCGGUGGCAUUCUUAGUUUAAGCCAGUGUGAAAAGAAACCAAGGAUCUGUUUACAAACUUCUGACAUUUCAUAGUGAUAAACAGUUUAUUAAAAAUACAUCAAUAUCCCAUAAUAACUGGGGGCUAAGAGGCUAAGACUGUUAUUGUUGUUUUGAAAUAGAUAUUUAUCAAAGGGAUAGAGAGGUUUUUAUUUAACAUCAGGUCAGAAUAUGACGACUCCAAACCAAUUUUUUUACAUAUAUAUAUAUAUAUAUAUAUAAAGUUCUAAAGCUGGAAACACUCUUCCUAAACAGUAACUGUAUUCCUUAAUUAUCCUUGAAAAGAAGGGUUGGACUAACCCUACAUUUUAAUCUUUUAGGAUUUAGUUUAGCAGGAUAAAGAGAUUGGAAGAGCGUUUGGAAAGGGUGU